rnacentral:tRNA from 1 species
GCGCAUGUGGUGAAAUUGGUAGACACGCUGUCUUCAGGCGGCAGUGCCUUCGGGUGUGGAGGUUCGAAUCCUCUCAUGCGCA